rnacentral:rRNA from 1 species
CGGGGUGCACCAGGCGCGAAAACUUUACAAUGCGGGAAACCGUGAUAAGGGGACACCGAGUGCCAGCAUCAUAUGCUGGCUGUCCGGGUGUGUAAAAUACACCCGUUAGCAAGGGCCGGGCAAGACCGGUGCCAGCCGCCGCGGUAACACCGGCGGCCCGAGUGGUGAUCGUGAUUAUUGGGUCUAAAGGGUCCGUAGCCGGUUUGGUCAGUCCUCCGGGAAAUCUGACGGCUCAACCGUUAGGCUUUCGGGGGAUACUGCCAGGCUUGGAACCGGGAGAGGUAAGAGGUACUACAGGGGUAGGAGUGAAAUCUUGUAAUCCCUGUGAGACCACCUGUGGCGAACGCGUCUUACCAGAACGGGUUCGACGGUGAGGGACGAAAGCUGGGGGCACGAACCGGAUUAGAUACCCGGGUAGUCCCAGCCGUAAACGAUGCUCGCUAGGUGUCAGGCAUGGCGCGACCGUGUCUGGUGCCGCAGGGAAGCCGUGAAGCGAGCCACCUGGGAAGUACGGCCGCAAGGCUGAAACUUAAAGGAAUUGGCGGGGGAGCAC